rnacentral:tRNA from 1 species
UGUCCCGGAAUGGGAAAUGAACCCAAAGUGUUCCGCUUACCGAGCAGAUGCCAUGUUCACUAGGCUACCCUUGGAC